CACAAGCGGUGGAGUAUGUGGUUUAAUUCGAUGCAACGCGAAGAACCUUACCUCGGUCUUGACAUCCCGGAGACCCUUAGGAAACUAGGGGGUGCUUCCAUCUGGAAGAAUCUGGAGACAGGUGCUGCAUGGCUGUCGUCAGCUCGUGUCGUGAGAUGUUGGGUUAAGUCCCGCAACGAGCGCAACCCUUGCCUUUAGUUGCCAGCAGUUCGGCUGGGCACUCUAAAGGGACUGCCGGUGUUAAACCGGAGGAAGGUGGGGAUGACGUCAAGUCCUCAUGGCCUUUAUGACCAGGGCUACACACGUACUACAAUGGCCGAUACAAAGGGCAGCGACACUGCGAGGUGAAGCCAAUCCCGUAAAAUCGGUCUCAGUCCGGAUUGGAGUCUGCAACUCGACUCCAUGAAGUUGGAAUCGCUAGUAAUCGUGGAUCAGCAUGCCACGGUGAAUACGUUCCCGGGCCUU
rnacentral:rRNA from 1 species